rnacentral:tRNA from 1 species
CGACCGCGUGCGCGGGCCCGGAUGGGCGGCCGCCUUCCUGGAGGAGGCGCGGGCACGGGGCGCGGCGCCGUUCGUGCCCGCGGCGGUGGA